UUCUCACAAAGCAAUAAUAUAUUAACACACUACACAUAACACUUCACAGUAUGAGUAUCGACAACAUUCGAGUCGCUUUUGUCAGGAUUACAACUUGUGUUCAGCUACAGUCACUGAACUAAACUGAGCUCGAACGGAAUAUUCUUGAUUAGUAGCACUCGUACAGCAUUGAUAAGAAAUAAAUUGAUGAACAAAAGAUUAAACGAAGUCACAAAUGUAGCAAGACUAACUGAAUUUGAUAGUUAUACACUUAUGUUAUAUUUGUGUGUGUUCAGGCAACAUGCGUAUCUGAGUAAGCGUGUUGAAAAAUCUUCAGAAUAAUCAAUGUGUUUCGAUACUCCGUUGAAGAUGAUAUAAAUUGUCUACAUUGAUCUGUGAUCUGUAGCAUCUGUUCACGUAAAUGACGUAGUUGACGACAGUAGGUGCGAGUGACGAAAGUACCCAACUAAUGGGGUCCAACAUGCAAUUAUAAGGGGAAAAAUGAUGGAAUGGUUGAAAAUUUGAAUGAGAAUUCCGUGAUCGAAUUUUUUGUUUUGAAAAAAGCAGAUUUUCAUUGUACCAUUUUUUCUCUAAGUUUGUUAUUCAAUUUGUGACAAAUUAUAAAGUGAGUUUUAAAAUAUUUAGACAAAUUUAAAAAUUCAUAAUUCACAUACAGGGUAACAGAAUUGCGUGCCAAUAUUUUAACCACGUAUUGCUGGGGACAAGACCCAUCGAAAAUGUAGGAAGCACUUUUCUGAAUUCGGCCUCUAUGCCGUGCUAAAGUUUUGGCCAUCGGUGAAUUUUUGGCCGAAAAUUCGUACUAUGGCAAGGUGGUCAUAUCUUGGGCUAUUGCGUACGUAUUUUUGAUCACAACUACAUGAAUAUUGGCUUAUUUGAAAGUUAUUGAGGUCCUCUUAGUGACACCACAUGAAUUUUGUCAAAUAAAAAAAACUUCUUUCGAAGUAAUUCCUCGUGACGAAAGCGAUCACGUAACAGUUGAUAUCAAUUUUAAUAAAUCAUUACGCUGUUAUAACUUCACAAUUUUUGAAAUUUUUUGUUCUUACACACACGUAUGAAAGUCACAAUGAGGCUUUAUAAUCACUUUAUAUCAAUCAAUGACUUAUGGUUAGACACAAUAAUAUUUUCUGCCGAUUGGAAAUCUGAUGAUGAGCUUGUGUUCUGCAGUUUAAUAUGGCAAUACAUGUUUGCAAAUAUUCACUAUCGAAUCUCACCAAGCUAUGCUAUUAAUCCAUUUCGGGUACAAAGAAUUCAAAAAUAAUAAUGAGAAAUAAUUUUGAAUGUCUAAAAGUUGAAUUUUGGCGGGAAAAAAGAGAAAAAUCGGUAGGACCCGGAAAGUCAUACGUUCGUUCGAUAAUGUGACUUAGGCAAAUCCGAUCGAUAUCAAACUUUCAGAAUCUCAUUUUUUCAUCAAAAUAUAGAUGCCCAGUACAAUUUGAAGUCGAUCGGACGAGAUUUAGGGAUACUUCCCAUACAAAAGUUUCCUUUUUGGGCUAAUUUUCAUAUAUUUGGGAAAGAAAAAUUUAUUUCUGCAGAUCCGAUCAGAAUGAAACUUUCAGAAUCUCAUUUUUUCAUCAAAAUACACAGUACAACAAUUUUUUGGUGAUGUUUGCACACAUUGGGGGUUUGAAUGCACGAUUGUAGAGGACCUCAAAACAAACAGUUCUGCAUCAUUAGUUUGUCAGGGAGACGUAUUAAUAAGAAAGUUAUUGUAUUUGGCGAAUUUUGAGUAAGCCUUUGAAU